rnacentral:rRNA from 1 species
UACGUAGGGGGCGAGCGUUGUCCGGAGUUACUGGGCGUAAAGCGCACGCAGGCGGUCUGCUAAGUUUGGAGUGACAGUUGGUGGCUUAACUGCCAAAGUGCUUCGAAAACUGACAGACUUGAGGGCUUCAGAGGGACACGGAAUUCCGGGUGGAGUGGUGAAAUGCGUAGAGAUCCGGAGGAACACCGACGGCGUAGGCAGCGCCCUGGCUGUGAAUAAAGCUGACACUGAGGCACGAAAGCUGGGGGAGCAAACAGG